UACGAAUUUUCUGUAGCACUAUAAGUAUUAAUUUAUUGUUAUUUUAUUGUUUUAUU
rnacentral:antisense_RNA from 1 species